rnacentral:rRNA from 1 species
GAUGAACGCUGGCGGCGUGCCUAAUACAUGCAAGUCGAGCGAACGGACGAGAAGCUUGCUUCUCUGAUGUUAGCGGCGGACGGGUGAGUAACACGUGGAUAACCUACCUAUAAGACUGGGAUAACUUCGGGAAACCGGAGCUAAUACCGGCUAAUAUUAUGAACCGCAUGGUUCAAAAGUGAAAGACGGUCUUGCUGUCACUUAUAGAUGGAUCCGCGGUGCAUUAGCUAGUUGGUAAGGUAACGGCUUACCAAGGCAACGAUGCAUAGCCGACCUGAGAGGGUGAUCGGCCACACUGGAACUGAGACACGGUCCAGACUCCUACGGGAGGCAGCAGUAGGGAAUCUUCGGCAAUGGGCGAAAGCCUGACGGAGCCACGCCGCGUGAGUGAAGAAGGUCUUCGGAUCGUAAAACUCUGUUAUUAGGGAAGAACAUAUGUGUAAGUAACUGUGCACAUCUUGACGGUACCUAAUCAGAAAGCCACGGCUAACUACGUG